rnacentral:rRNA from 1 species
CAGCAGCCGCGGGAAUACAGAGGGUGCGAGCGUUAAUCGGAUUUACUGGGCGUAAAGCGUGCGUAGACGGCUUCUUAAGUCGGAUGUGAAAUCCCUGAGCUUAACUUAGGAAUUGCAUUCGAUACUGGGAAGCUAGAGUAUGGGAGAGGAUGGUAGAAUUCCAGGUGUAGCGGUGAAAUGCGUAGAGAUCUGGAGGAAUACCGAUGGCGAAGGCAGCCAUCUGGCCUAAUGCUGACGCUGAGGUACGAAAGCAUGGGGAGCAAACAGGAUUAGAUACCCCAGUAGUCCCUGUCUCUUAUAC